UGACACCUGCAGAAACACAGAAUAUAGAAUAUAUAGCAGUCGCCACUUCGGGUACACACCUCUUUACGCCGGAUCUUCUUGGCGAGCUGCGUCGCCGACAGGAGCAGCAGCGGGUUGCUGACGGCCGGGAGCUUCUUCCCGGACAUCGCCGGUCUCCGAGGGGAGAACAGCUGGAAGAGCAGGGAAAAGGCUCCGAGGAGCGCCCGGCUGAACCACACAUAGAGCUUGUCCAGGAGGCCCUGAGACAUGUUUCCACCGCGGAGAGGAAGACAGGGGGGUUUAUUUAGAGCCUGCUGUCAACGAAAGACGUCCUCCUGGUGAGACAGAGGCUGUGAUAUAUAUGUCAGCACAGCGUGAGACAGCAAGUGAGCGCAGGUUAGGGAGGCUGACCACCGGAACCUUCAAAAUAAAAGCAUAGCGACGUUUAUUUCUGCUGGUCAGUGGUGAAAUGCAACAAAUCAACUUGUUGCGUUCAACUUUUCUGCUCGUGGUCCAGAAGGUCUUCCCUUUCAGUGACUCUUCCUCUGAAUCAGCACUGGCUCACAGACUACAGGGUCAGCCGGAGCCAAGCCUGUCAUUCAACAGCACUGACCAAUUGCUUUGAGAGGUACAGGCUGUAUAACCAGAGCGCCACUCCCUUCUAUAGCCUGUUGUUCUAUACCUGGAAGGAGCAGUCGUGUGGCAACCUGUGAUCUUGUAGUGUGUGUUGUAGUUAGUUAGUACAGCCCCCUCGCCCACACAGAAUAACAGGACCAUACUGUGUGUGUGUGUGUGUGUGUGUGUGUGUGUGUGUGUGUGUGUGUGUGUGUGUGUGUGUGGCAACUCAUUACCUGUGUUUACUUAUAUGAUAGAUGCAGUAUUAUAAAUCUACGCUGUAUAGUAUAGAAGUAUCUAACAUUUGCCCCACAUGAGUGAACUACAACAUUAAAACGCUAAAAAAUAUAAUAUUCUGUAAUAAUACGACGCUGUGAAAAGAUCCAUUCUGCACAGUUGACUUUAACUUUUAGUACAUUUUGCUGAUAAUAUUUAAGUUUGAAUUCAGGACUUUUACUUGUAAUGGAGUACUUUUAGACUAUAGUGUUUCUACUUUUAAUAGAGAGUGUCCAGCUGUGUAUGACAUAUUAAAAGUAGAUCCUCCUUUAGCUUGCACAUUAAUAUAAUAAUUAUAAUCCAAUAUAAUACACAUUAUUUAGACAAAAUAGGCUCCAAUGAAGUACCAGUCUGUCGACACUAGAGGGCAGCAUUGAUAAAGACUUUAAUUCCUACUUGAACAUGCAGAUCAUGUAGCAAAAAGAAGAAGAAAAAACUGCCUCUGCAAUGCAGGUCAGUGGGUUAGAGGAGAAUCCAUACUGACAGUGUUUGUUACAGUCAGCUCAUCCUGCACCACCAACCCAAUCAUCACACUGUGCACAUCCAAUGAAUUAUGUUGUUUAACCGACUGAAAGACUAAAACUGCAUUUUAAACUUUACCUAAAGCAGCUUUUGAUAACAUCUUAUCUGCCCGUUCUUGCCUUUUAUCUCAUAUCUCAUAUCUCUUGCUUCAUUUCUCUUCUUCCUCCAAAAUAAACAGACCCAGCGUGGUUAAAGAUCAGUGGUGGAAAACAAUAAGUACACUGAAAAAUAGUAAUAUAAAAUAAAUAUAUAUAUACUGAUGCAUGUUUGUAUAAAAACUUGUAAAGGAGCUGCUUGAUAGCAUCUUUGUGAUAGAAAACACUACACUGGCCUGAAAAGUGUUAAUAACUAAUGAGAGGGGGUUUGUGCAUUAGUCAUGAAACUAUGUGAAUAAAAGAAAUGUGAAAUCAAUAAAAUCCACAGAAUGGCGUCAACA